AGUGAACGCUGGCGGUAGGCCUAACACAUGCAAGUCGAACGGCAGCACAGUAAGAGCUUGCUCUUACGGGUGGCGAGUGGCGGACGGGUGAGGAAUACAUCGUAAUCUACUUUUUCGUGGGGGAUAACGUAGGGAAACUUACGCUAAUACCGCAUACGACCUACGGGUGAAAGCAGGGGAUCUUCGGACCUUGCGCGAUUGAAUGAGCCGAUGUCGGAUUAGCUAGUUGGCGGGGUAAAGGCCCACCAAGGCGACGAUCCGUAGCUGGUCUGAGAGGAUGGUCAGCCACACUGGAACUGAGACACGGUCCAGACUCCUACGGGACGCAGCAGUGGGGAAUAUUGGACAGUGGGCGCAAGCAUGAUCCAGCCAUACCGCGUGGGUGAAGAAGGCCUUCGGGUUGUAAAGCCCUUUUGUUGGGAAAGAAAAGCAGCAGGUUAAUACCCCGCUGUUCUGACGGUACCCAAAGAAUAAGCACCGGCUAACUUCGUG
rnacentral:rRNA from 1 species